CCUACGGGAGGCAGCAGUGAGGAAUAUUGGUCAAUGGACGCAAGUCUGAACCAGCCAUGCCGCGUGCAGGAAGACGGCUCUAUGAGUUGUAAACUGCUUUUGUACGAGGGUAAACUCAGAUACGCGUAUCUGUCUGAAAGUAUCGUACGAAUAAGGAUCGGCUAACUCCGUGCCAGCAGCCGCGGUAAUACGGAGGAUUCAAGCGUUAUCCGGAUUUAUUGGGUUUAAAGGGUGCGUAGGUGGUCGGUUAAGUUAGAGGUGAAAUCCCGAGGCUCAACUUCGGAAUUGCCUCUGAUACUGUUAGGCUAGAGAGUAGUUGCGGUAGGCGGAAUGUAUGGUGUAGCGGUGAAAUGCUUAGAGAUCAUACAGAACACCGAUUGCGAAGGCAGCUUACCAAGCUACGUCUGACGUUGAGGCACGAAAGCGUGGGGAGCAAACAGGAUUAGAUACCCGAGUAGUC
rnacentral:rRNA from 1 species